UACGUAGGGGGCAAGCGUUGUCCGGAAUCAUUGGGCGUAAAGCGCGCGUAGGCGGCCCUGUAAGUCCGUUGUGAAAGUCAAAGGCUCAACCUUUGAAAGCCGAUGGAUACUGCAGGGCUAGAGUCCGGAAGAGGCGAGUGGAAUUCCUGGUGUAGCGGUGGAAUGCGCAGAUAUCAGGAGGAACACCAAUAGCGAAGGCAGCCCCCUGGGAUGUGACUGACGCUCAUGUACGAAAGCGUGGGGAGCAAACAGG
rnacentral:rRNA from 1 species